GAGAAAUGAGGAUACAGACUAUAUCUUAAUUCUGUAGUGAAGACUUCAGAUCCAACUCUGAUCUCACGCUGGAG
ensembl:snoRNA